GCAGCCUGGAUGGCGAGGGCUGACAGGGAGGCCUGUGGAGCCCCACAGGUUGGAGGCACUUAGGACCCCACCUGGAAGGUCGGUUCUGCAUCCAUCUCCCUGAGCCUUUUCUCUCUCCAUGGGCCCCUCUGUGCGGCCGCGGCGCUAAAAGCUGCUAGAAUUAGCAGGGCUGAGAACCGUCCUCAGGCGCCAGUACGAGCCUCGCUCUUGUUUCCUGCUCGAAAGAAGACACCUCGUUACCCAAGUUGGGAGGACACUCUGUGCCAUCUGCUCUUGGCCCCUUGGGUCCCAGAGCUGCUUCUGACACACAGGCUUUUUCACAGCCCGCCGCACAUGGCUACUGGCCAUGAGGCGGUGAUGGUGCCUGGCACACAGAUGUGGCUGGUGCCUGAGAGGCUUGAGGUCGGCCCCAGGGGAGGGGCCUUGGCCUGGGCCCAGCACACAGUCCUCCAGUGUCCCAGGGAGGCACCACUCAGAACCAGAAGAUGAAAAUGUUUGGCUCUGGGGGGGAAUUAUGCAAAUUAUCUACCUGGUUUCUGUGUUUGAAAAUACCCAGAUGUUGGCUUCCAAAUCAGAAAGCUGUCUUGGGGCAAUCUCUAUUCCCUGUCUGGUUCAGGUGGUCCUUUCUACAAACACUGGAGACCGGGUUUUGACUGUCAGCCUCCUGUCUGGCCCUCCCCAGCAACGUCGCUAAGCCAGAGGGCUGGCCCUCCCCGUCCACCUUCUCCAGGACAGGCUCCAUGCCGACCACAACCCACCAAGCCACAUAGAGGGCCAUACUCCCCACUUCCUGCAGCGCCCAGAUCCACCCAAUGCUGUACCCACCAUGCUGGGCUGAUGCCUCAGGCUGAGCUGAGAUCAGUCUUGGUGUUCUCCCUUCUUCCUGCUUCAAAAAGUGGGUGUCUGGUGUUUUCCCCUGAGGUCCUCAUGAGCCAGAUUUAGCAAACCUCCGCUCAGAAGCCUGACCCUUGGAGAAUGCCCCCUAAGGAACAGCCUGGUCCGCGGUAACCUGUCUCCCCUUGCCUCCUCCCUGCCUCAGUUGCAUAGAUUCGUGGUUUGAAGUGAACAGAUCUUGUCCAGAACAUCCCGCGGACUGACCCUGCUGGGCUCGCUUGCUGACUCCUCUCAAAGGGACAGCCAGCCCCCGUUCCUGGGAGGAGGCAUCGGACACGGGCAGAGCUGAGCUGGGGACACCGGUGGGAACAGGGCACCCCUUCUGCACUGACUUCCAGAGAAUGGUUCUCCCUUUCUCCCUGAGGACACCAAACUGGAUGAGAGCGAGUUUGAGAGAAGAAUCCACUGCUAUCCUUCCCCUCACCCCUCAUCCCAGGAGGGAAAGGGCAUUUUCUUUUACACCUUUCAAAGGCGUUGUGGGUCUGUCUAAAGUGUUUACAAAAAAAAAAAAUUAUAAAAAAAAAGUCUAGUGUCGACUGGUGUUUUCCCUCGUGAUGUUUACAGAUUGCCGUCUGCCGCCCGGCUAGAACCCACUCAGUGACAGAGACGAACGGGGCUGCGCGCACGGGCUCCUCCUGUGCCCAGCGCCCUCCUGUCGGCCCUCUCUAUCACCGACCACUCUGCCUUGGGUGGUUUUUUGUUUUGUUUUGUUUUUGGGUUGUGGUUGUUUGUUUGUUUCCUCCAUUUUUCUGGCUUGGUUUUGCACUUUUCUCCCCUUGGGACCCUGAUAUGUAACUUCAUUGCCAAAAAAACAACCCAUCAAGGAUCUUCUCCUCUCCAUUCCCUUUUCCUCUCCCUCCUUCGCUCCUGGUUCUGGUCAGUUCAGAGGAUUUAACAAUCACAAGUGUCCUGCAAAAAUGCCUGAACAUUUUUCUUAGACCCUUGUGGAUUUUUUUUCCCGGAAAACUUAAACAGAUAAAAGACUUAUUAAAGGAAUAUGUA